rnacentral:tRNA from 1 species
GCCGGAGUGGCGGAAUGGCAGACGCGGGCGACUUAAAAUCGCUUGGGCAAACCCCGUGCGGGUUCGAGUCCCGCCUCCGGCACCA